GCCUUCUUUUUGGCUUUCUUCAUCUUCUUUGUCAUUUUCUUCUGCACUUCCUCCUCUGACAGCACAGUAAAGAGCUCCAGGACUGCAUCAUUGCCCUGAUGAAUGAUGAAAAGAGAUAAGUAUAGCAUUCAUUUCCUACAGAAUAUCAAUAUAGAUAUAUUUGAAUGUUACAGAUUUUGAUGAAAACAAAGCACAUUCAUUGCAUAAAAUACUACUAAACAACAAUGUAAAAAUCCCUCUGUGAUUCCAGCUUCAGGGUCCUGACACAUGGCAACUUUACACGGACAGUAACCAACUGCUGCCUUAUUUUGACUCAUGUUAACUGAACACACUACAAACUACAUCUGACAGCCAGCUGAACGCCAACAUGCAUGUUCAUUCUGCCUGAGCCUUCAUGGGAGGAAAUAACUUAGGAAACCGGAGGACGAUUCGACACUUACAUGACAGGCGAUGACUCUGGCCUUGGCGUCUGCUGCCAGCGAAACAACUCGGUCUCGGGCCUCUCUCAGGAUUGAUCCGGCUUUCCUACAACUCAGGAUCCGCUGAGAGAGGAAAAAAGAGAGAGAGAGAAUAUAUGAAUGUAUGUAAGACAUUACAUGUGUUAAAGAAAAUGA